GACGGAGGAUGCAAGUGUUAUCCGGAAUCACUGGGCGUAAAGCGUCUGUAGGUGGUUUAAUAAGUCAACUGUUAAAUCUUGAGGCUCAACCUCAAAAUCGCAGUCGAAACUAUUAGGCUAGAGUAUAGUAGGGGUAAAGGGAAUUUCCAGUGGAGCGGUGAAAUGCGUAGAGAUUGGAAAGAACACCGAUGGCGAAGGCACUUUACUGGGCUAUUACUAACACUCAGAGACGAAAGCCAGGGGAGCAAACGGG
rnacentral:rRNA from 1 species